CUGCUAGAACAAUUCACAAUCUGAUAACUGGAGCUGGUGGCUGAGUUGUGAAUGGAGUUGUGAAUGCAUAACAAGUACUUUGCCCCAGUCAUGAUGAAAUCAAUUCUUGGCUAUCAUCAACUCAUUCAAAAAGCCACCCAAAAUAGUAACAACCUUCCCCUCUUGUUCCAUUUGCCCUUCUGCAGAGCUCAGUAGCUUGCUUGUGUGGUAGACAAGCGAAAAUUAAAAUGUAAGGCAAGGAGAUUGGGAUUCCAGGUCAGCAUGUCACUUUGGGGUGCUGCUCUACUUUGACCAUCGUUCUCCACUGGGUAAAAGAGAAAGCUUUGCCUUCUAAGCAUGAUUUCACAGCUGAACCUUUGACAUUCCAGCCAUUAACUCUCUCAGAGGACAGGGGAGAUGGCUCACCCAAAAGGAGAAGCUUUGGGAUGGCAGUGAGAAGAGGGGAAGCUGCAGAGGGUGCCCAUGGAUGGGAAGAAGUUGUGCUGUUUGCCCUUGGAUCAGAGUGCUCCUCAUCGUGGCUGGGGACUGGCCAUGGCUACAUCCCAUAGAUUUGGCCUUUAGCCCUUCUGCCUCCAGGAUUUAGGGUUACAGUUCUUUAUCCAACGUGCUGCUUUCAGGUGGUUGCACCCAGAGGUGUCUGCAUGUCUAGAAGCUCCAUAAUCCCCAUUUGGGUUUCUCUUCUGGCCCCAAACAAAUCUGUGUCUUUGGAUUCUACCUCCCUUCAACACCUUGAUGGAUGCUUUGUUCAUUUAUAAAGUGGUGGUACAAAACCAGGCAAGGAAAAAUAGAAGGAAGUAGAAAGAAUUGUGAAUAAGAUUAAUAUGUAAGUUUUAGAAAUAAAUUAAGAAAACCCCCUCAAAUUCCUGAGAUUUUGUCACGCUGAUACUGCCCUGCUGUUGUUAGAAAUACAGAACUAACUGAAAGAAAAAUUCAGAACUGGCUCAAAGCUUCUCUAGUGAAAAACAGGUUAUCUACAUACCAGUUACAUUCCACAGAACUCAGUAAAACAUCUUGCUAAAAGUGCAGACCUGUGGAUUCAGCAGUAAUAGCAUAAAGUAUUGCUAACACCAAGUUAACACCUGCAAACUCUUUACACAGAUGAAUUGUUUUUAAUUCUCCUUUUCUUUGGCACAGGAGAGAUGAGUGCUUAGGAAGAAAAGACAAAUGGACUGUAGGAAACAGUAGUACGUUACUACUUGCAAAACUCACAGCAGCCAAAAGGAAAUAACCAAAUACUGCCAUUUAUUUUAAAUUGGCCACAAAUUGUUGCUGCCUGUUAGUUUACCUUCAUUAAGUAUGUUUGUUCACCUUCGUUGAGUUUAGAGUUGGUUUGCCCCAGUUACUCCCCACUAUCCCGAUAUGGUUUGUUCCCAGUUGCCUGUCAUUGUAAACCUCUCCCCUCUUUCCAGAUUGUUCCCCAUCCAUCACUUUGGUCCUACCCCCAAGCCCUAUCAAUCUAUGUACACCACACCUUUUGUUCUGGUUCCUUCCCUGCUCAUCAUCCCUUACUCGAUGCCCUAUUGGUUGUAUAGCUAUCCUCCCUCCCCCAAGUCCCUACCAUUGGAUUUGUGUAUUGUAACCCCUUCCCACAACACCUCCCCUGCUGCCAUAUCAUUGGUUGUUGUAUGAGCCGCCCACGGGCUUUAAAACCUGGCGCACAGAGGUGCCCAGGGUCUCGGCUCGGACUUUCUCCUCGAGAUCCCAGCCCUGUCCCUCAUCGCCUUCUCCCUGCACCUGCUGGAAUAAACUUGUUCCUGGGAAAUUGGAGGACUCUGAGCACUCUCUCUCCCUUUACUGCACCUCAUGUCGCCCUGCAUACUAUAGAGCCCGAGCCCAAAGGAGCUCUAGAGGUUCCAGGUCGAGCCACACAGUGCUCACCUGGUUCCCCACUCCUGCCGCCGACGCUUGGCACAAGCUAGCCAGGGCGUGAAGGGCCGAGCGGGCAGCGACAGCUGGCGCCCAACGUGGGGCCUCUUGCGAGGCGUGGAGACCCCCGGAGAGGUUGGUGGAUCUACAAAUUCCAGUGGAUUUCACAGAGACUGUGAGCGGCAGCUGCUCUGGUAGUAGUAGACUCGUUUUUGCCGAGUUGCGCUCCCAGAGGUCGAGGCGGCAGCCGUCAGACGUGCAGACGGUCGCCUCGGGAGGUGUGGACGUCGCCUGCAACAGUCGUCCGGACUUGGGAGCAAAUAGAAAGACAAGUUGAUAAACCUGAGCUACAAGAGCAGCUUGUCUUAGAAAUGGCUAAGGCGAACUGUAAUGACAUCUGCAAACAGGUUAUAUUUAGUUUGCCCAUGUAUCCACCGCCAACCUUGGACGUCCUCAUUGAUGCAUGUGAGAAGAAAGUUCCGUUAGUGGGGGCGUCCAGGGUACCACCACCACCACAGGCGGCCAGGAGAACACCAACAGCGGCAGUGACCCAACACCCGUCGGGCCAGUUCAUCCUUCCACCAGCAAGAACUACUCAGUGUUACCGAUGUGGACAACUGGGUCACAUGGCGAGGGACUGUCCCACCGCCCACCCACGCCAGGGGCUCGUGGGAAAUGGAUCUGGGGAGAGGGUACUGGAGGGAACAACUAAUAAAAAACAAAAAAACUGAGAGCGCGGCGCGAACCUGCCCCGCGCGAUGCAAAAAAUGGGGCAGGUAUCGCGGAGGUGGGGGGAAAGAAUCAUCGGACGUGGCAAAUUUACCGGACGCGACACCUUAUCACCGUCAAAGACAUCCUCUUCCGGACCCAGCACUGGACGGUAGUUGCUGUGGAUCCCUCGGAGGGAGACAAGAAGAACACUGGACCUGACUGUAAGUUCAUCGCCAUCGGGGACACUAGACACACACCCCCAGAGAUUGAGAUCUCCCCGAUCACC